GAGGAGACGGGUGGUGCUGAUCCUCUCCUGGUGACGCGGGUACCAGCAAAGCCCUUUUCCAGGGGAAGAAAGGGAACGGAAAAGCAGAAUUUCACUCCUCUGGUGCCUGGGUUGUUUGUGUCACAGCCACUCUCAGCCAAGGGCAAGCCCUGGGGCUGAAGAUGCUCCAGGAUGAUCCGGGAUGGCCUCGGGGGAAGGCACAGCACCGUGCAGCAGCUGGGAGGACAUCACUCAGUGUCUCCUCCUUUCCCCAGUGACACACAAAGGACUGAUGUGAACUGGACCACAAGGCCCUGCUGCUUUUAGGGCUUCCAGAUAUUUAUUUUAAAAUGUUUUACGCUGUUUCCAGCCCCGGGUUCAGGCUGGGGUGUGACAGCCCAUGGAGACAGUCCUCUGCUGCGAUGCUGGGGGUGGGUGGGGGACAUUCAAGGUCGAUGUGUGUGAGGAAUCGUGUGGCUGAGCCCGGGGGGGGGAAGGACAGAGCCCGUCAGGUCCCCUUUUAACAGUGAGAGACAGUGACUGGUGCAGAAAUCAAAUCCCAUUUUCCUCUGGAAUUAGCAGGGCCGGGGAUCUGCUCUGGCAGCCACAGGGGAGCAGCCCAGUGGUGGCACAGCUGAGACAGGCUAUAAAUUCUGCAAGACUCUUAUGUAAAGGCUUUCAGAAGGGGGUGGCAGAAACAGACUCUUCUCGGAGGGUGUCUGACAUCCAUUAACCCUUCGGUUCAUGGGAAGCUGCUCAUUCCCAUCCCCAGUACCCGGGGGGCUGGGGGAGCAGGGAAGCAGGCAGAUAUCCUUCUGCCUGGCCCUUCAUCCCUCUGCCCCCCACUCCAGAGCCAAACAGAACCACUUUCCCAAUUAUUUUUGUGCCUCUGGAGGAAAAUCCUGCCAGAAAGAGUUCGAAAAAUCCCUGGGGUCACUUGGGCAGGGCAGACACCCUCCUCCCUCUGCUCUAUCGGCCUCUCUCUGCUCUCUGUGGGAUGUGAUGGUGCAGGAGCCCUCUCUCCGGGCAUUUUCCUAACUCACUGACUUAUUGCAUCUGCUUUAAAAUCCAGCCUGGAGCCAUCUCUUCAGCCAGGCUCCCUCCCAAGCAGUGCUUUGCUCCAGAUCUCCAUUAUGUGUGUGAAAGAUGUGGCACAAAUCCCAGCAGAGCACACCAGGAAGGUGUUUUCCCUGACGUGGUUUAAUCCCAGCUGGCAUCCAAGCCCCACGGAGCCACUUGCUCCCACCCAUCCAGUGGGGAUGGGGGAGAGAGUGGGAACAGUGAGGAAACUCGUGGGUUGAGAUAAAGACAGUUUAAUAGGGAAAGCUAAAGCUGUGUGUGUGUGCAAGCAAAGGAAAGCCAGGAAUUCGUUCCCCACUUCCCAUGGGCAGGCAGGGGUUCAGCCACUGCCUAAGGGUGACUUGGGAAGGUAAAUGCCAGUGUCCCCCCUGCCUCCUCUUUCCUCCUACUUUAUACACUGAGGAUGGGCUGUAUGGGCUGGGAUAUCCCUGGGGUCAGUCAGGGUCAGCUGUCCCAUCUGUGUCCCCUCCAAACUUCCCGUGCACCCCCAGCCUGAUCACUGGGGGUGAUACGAGGAGCAGAAAAGGCCUUGAUGCUGUUCAAGAGCUGCUCAGCAACAACAGAACAUCCCUGAGUUAUCAACCCUGUGUUCAGCACAAACCCAAACACAGCCCCAGGCCAGCUACUGUGGAGGAAACCAACUCUACCCCGGCCACAACCGGCACAUCCCCAAGUCCCAGAUUGCUGGGAUUGCUCUGCUGGCCCUGAGAGGUUGGGAAGGAAGGGGCUGGGACAGCUCUGUUGGUGCUUCCCAGGCUGGCCAUAGGCAGAGACUGAACAUCAGUCCCUGCCACUUGCCCGGGCCAGUGACCAGAGGGGACAGCCCUCCACUCUUUGGGGUGUCCCAGGCUGCUCCAGGCUUGCCUGUGCCACACUGGGAGGUUUUCUGGCAAAAAAAGCAGGAGUUAAGGGCUAUCCCAGGAUCUGAUCUGCCACUGCACCUCUCCAGCACCAGCUCUGGGUUGGUCGUGUCCUUCCAACCCGAAGGUUUGGGUUUGCAUGUGAACUAGAAUGCUUUAGAGCCCUAAAUCCAGGUGAAUUUUGUUUCUCAGGGACAUGGGAAGGAAACACUGACUCUGUUAAGUUGUGGGGUCAGCCCUGUGAGCACCCCCCUGCAGGCUGGCCAUGCCCUGCCCUGGAGGGGUGGGUGUUGGAAGGUCUCAGGUCCAGCCAAGCAUUCCAGCGUGUCAGCUCUGCUUCAGUAUUCAAACUGGUGGCUUUAAAAAUAAUAAUAAAAAAAAAGAACAAACCCAAACCAAACAACCCACCCUGCUGCCCAUUUAUAUUCCCCUCACAGCUGUGCUUGCAGCAGGGCCGGGGUAUGAAUGGAAACAUUCCUCUUGCCCACAGCUUAUCCCUGCAGAGCAACCUCCGCUCUCCAAACGGCCCCUGCUCAAAAGCUUUCCACUCCCAGGGCUCAAAUCCGGCAGUGUCAGCACAGACCCGGCUUGGAGCUCUUCACAUUCAGAGCUGAGAGUCUUCUCCUCAUCCUCCCCACCCCCAGCUCAUCCUGCCCGAGGCUCCCUCCCUCCUGGGAAGCCCCUUGCAGCCGGCAGGUCCCUCCCCAUCCCGCCGCACAUCCAUGCAGCAAACUGGAGUUCCUAGACAGAAAACCUCCUUUGCUUCAAUUGAAGCCUCCCCGUUGAUUUAAUUAAUGCAAAUCGAGGCGUGUUAAACCUCCUUGAAAGCAGCAAGGCCUGGAUUCACAACAGGCUGUGAGGGUCCAGCUGAGCCCAGUGUGUGCAGUGGGAACACACAAACCCUGGUAGAGGAGCUCAGUGCCCACAGCCGGCCUGGAAGAACAGCGUGGGCAGAGGUGCAGUGCUGACCCAAACCCUGGGCAGCACCUUCUCGAGCAGAAUUCCUUUGAUUGGCACAGCCACCAUCUGUUCUGAGCACUUUUACUUGUCUCAUUUGAAGGAGGAAUUAACAGAUUCGAGCGAAUUUCUCAAGAAACAACCUGGCACUGGAAGCCAGGCACCCUGUCUGAUUUGAAAAAAAUUAAAUUACUUCCAACAGCA